rnacentral:rRNA from 1 species
AAGGAUCAUUACCGAGUAUCGGGGCCCUCUGGGUUCCUACUCCCACCCUAUGUGUACCAAUCUCAGUUGCUUUGGCGGGUCGUCGGUUUCGACUACCGUUGGCCUUUUAGGCUGGCGAGUACCCGCCGGAGGACCCUUAGAACUCGUUUUAACGGUGGCUCUGAGUGAAUCUUUGAAUAGAAAAAAAACUUUCAACAACGGAUCUCUUGGUUCUGGCAUCGAUGAAGAACGCAGCGAAAUGCGAUAAGUAAUGUGAAUUGCAGAAUUCAGUGAAUCAUCGAAUCUUUGAACGCACAUUGCGCCUCUUGGUAUUCCAUGAGGCAUGCCUGUUCGAGCGUCAUUAGAACACUCAAGCUCUGCUUGGUGUUGGGUGUCUGUCCCGCCUCUUGUGCGUGGACUCGCCUUAAAGUCAUUGGCAGCCGCUCUUGUAGGCCUGGAAGCGCAGCAAAGUCCGCGCGGUAGGCUGUCAUGGUGGCGUCCAACAAGCUCUUCUUACACUUGACCUCGGAUCAGGUAGGGAUACCCGCUGAACUUAAG